GUUAAAUCUAACACAUAUAAGUGUUAGUGAAUGAAACCCUAGCCGUCUCCAACUUUGUUUUUCUCUGUUUUCUCUCAUCAUCGACAAUUCAACAAAAAGAUGUGAAUCCUCACAGCAAGAUGAAGAACAUGAAGCAGAUCUUAAAGUUGCUCUUCAACAUGAAGAGUUUGUUAGUGAGAAACUUGUUCUAGAUGAUUAUCAUUUUGAACACCCAUGUUUAAUCAAGGAUCUAUGUCUAGAAAAUGGAGCUGGAUCUAUGUUUGUUAGUGUUUAUUGACAAUGGAUCUAGAUCUAUAUUUUGUUAACUCUUUAUUUUUUAUUUUUUUAUUUUAAUGAAUUUGCUGCAUCUGUAUCUAUAUUUCUUCUAGAAAAGAAGAGUAUCGUUUAAUGUUAUGUAACUUUUUAUGAACUGGGUAGCAUUGUUUUAGUAUAUUUGAUAUUCUUUUAGUUUCACUAAAGGUGGAUUUCAUUGUUCUUCUUUGAAGGUGCUGCUGCAAUGAAAAAAAUGGAGUACAUUUUAGAGAAAGUGUUUGUAACUGUUAUGGAAGUUUGUUUUUAAUUCUUUGCUAACUAUGCCCUGUUAAGUUUUUCUUUUCUCUUCAAAGUUUUGUGCAGGUUAGGAAUUAUUGUUGCCCAGUAGUAGUCUUGUUUUUGUGCAGGUUGGAGUUAUUGUUGCAAUAGUCUUGUUUUUGCUCUGGUGUAAGUGGCAGUUUCAAGGAUAAUGAAGAAAUUGUUGAUCCAAAUAUGUUGUAGAAAAUUCCAGAUUUAUAUUGAAUAUCAAAAAGUUAUAAUAUGCUAUAAUAAUAUGAUAGAUAUAUUUUGUUUAUGU